rnacentral:rRNA from 1 species
GACGAACGCUGGCGGCGUGCCUAACACAUGCAAGUCGAACGGAAAGGCCCUGCUUUUGUGGGGUGCUCGAGUGGCGAACGGGUGAGUAACACGUGAGUAACCUGCCCUUGACUUUGGGAUAACUUCAGGAAACUGGGGCUAAUACCGGAUAGGAGCUCCUGCUGCAUGGUGGGGGUUGGAAAGUUUCGGCGGUUGGGGAUGGACUCGCGGCUUAUCAGCUUGUUGGUGGGGUAGUGGCUUACCAAGGCUUUGACGGGUAGCCGGCCUGAGAGGGUGACCGGCCACAUUGGGACUGAGAUACGGCCCAGACUCCUACGGGAGGCAGCAGUGGGGAAUAUUGCACAAUGGGCGGAAGCCUGAUGCAGCAACGCCGCGUGCGGGAUGACGGCCUUCGGGUUGUAAACUGCUUUCGCCUGUGACGAAGCGUGAGUGACGGUAAUGGGUAAAGAAGCACCGGCUAACUACGUG